GAUGAACGCUGGCGGCGUGCCUAAUACAUGCAAGUCGAGCGAACAGACGAGGAGCUUGCUCCCCUGACGUUAGCGGCGGACGGGUGAGUAACACGUGGAUAACCUACCUAUAAGACUGGGAUAACUUCGGGAAACCGGAGCUAAUACCGGAUAAUAUAUUGAACCGCAUGGUUCAAUAGUGAAAGACGGUUUUGCUGUCACUUAUAGAUGGAUCCGCGCCGCAUUAGCUAGUUGGUAAGGUAACGGCUUACCAAGGCAACGAUGCGUAGCCGACCUGAGAGGGUGAUCGGCCACACUGGAACUGAGACACGGUCCAGACUCCUACGGGAGGCAGCAGUAGGGAAUCUUCCGCAAUGGGCGAAAGCCUGACGGAGCAACGCCGCGUGAGUGAUGAAGGUCUUCGGAUCGUAAAACUCUGUUAUUAGGGAAGAACAAAUGUGUAAGUAACUAUGCACGUCUUGACGGUACCUAAUCAGAAAGCCAUGGCUAACUACGUGCCAGCCGCCGCCGUAACAC
rnacentral:rRNA from 1 species